AUUAUUUCGUUUCCUUUCUUUGUUUAACAGAAGUCUUUGCUUCAUUCUUUGUUUAACAGAGGCUUUCUGGCUUUUAAUUUUUUAAAGACAAACUUUUUCUCCCAAUUCCCAAAUAUAAAAAAAAAAACUAGGGUUCUGCUGGGUUUUCUUCCAAUUCCCAAAUCAAAGAAAAGGCUAGGGUUCUGUUGCUUCCUCUGCUAGGGUUCGUCGGUUUAUCUCAUGAGGUUUUUCUAGCAAAAGUCGAUAUGAUCACGAGUUUUUACCAAGCUCAAGCUACUGCAACUUCUUCUAGCUCUCCUUUGACAAGUUCUCCAUGUCCAGUUAUUAAUAACAAUAUUAAUCUUUCCCAAGCAUCGGAUAAAGUGUGCUAUUAUGAGCCCGAUCCUGCUAAAAGAAAACCAAUUUCAAAAUAUUCUCCUAAUUUACGUGACCGUAUAAGGAGAAAUUAUAUACAAAAUGGAGCUUGUCAACCCCGUGGUUUUGUCUUUCCAAAAAGAGAUUUUGGGGGAAUAAUGCAUCACUUUAGUCCUCAAUGGUUAAAACUUCAUGUUCUCAAUGGUUAGAAUAUAGCAUUAAACAAGAUGCAGCAUUUUGUUUAUGUUGUUACUUGUUUAAAAAUGAGGUUGGAGGAUAUGGAAAAAAAGUAGGUGAUGCUUUCACAACAGAUGGUUUUAGAGGUUGAAAUAAAGCUUUAGAAAGAUUUAAUUCACAUGUGGGUAACGUGGGUAGUGUUCAUAAUCGAUGUUUCAAUAUGAUGCUAGAUUUAAUGAACCAAGAACAAUCCAUUCUAACUUCUUCGGACAAACAAUCUGAGAAAAUUAAAAGUGAUCAUCGAGUUCGUUUGAAUGCUUCAAUUGAUGUGAUAAGGUAUCUUUUGAAAGAAGGAAUUCCUUUUCAGGGCCAUGAUUAGAGUGUAACUUCUACUAGGAGAGGCCAUUUUUAGAUCUCUUAAAAUGGUAUGCAGAUAGGAAGGAAGAUGUGAAAAAUGUGGUAUUAGAAAAAGCUCCAAAAAAUAAUACCAUGACUUCUCCUGAUAUUCAGAAAGAUAUUGUGAAUUCUUGUGCAAAACAAACGGUGAAAGCAAUUAUUGAAGACUUGAAUGGGGAUUUUUUUGGGAUAUUAGUUGAUGAGUCUAAGGAUGUCUCUCAUAAGGAACAAAUGGCUCUUGUUCUGCGCUAUGUCAAUAAAGAGGGUGAACUUAUUGAGUGCAAUUGAAAUGAUGCGAUCAUUGAUCGUUGAUCGUUUUCAAAACAUGACAACUCGUCGAGUGCAAUUGAAAUGAUAAUGUUUAUAUUCAUAUAUUGUGUUGUCUUUAGUUACUUUUUAACUAUAUAUUAAAUAUCGAUACUUAUUCUUUA